GGAUGCUAUGGCUGCAACAUCUGUCAUGUCACUGAUCAUCAGAGUUGACUUGGCUGAUCUGGUUAUGUAGACAGGAAAAUCUCCUCUCCUUUAGUGCUCUAUGAACCUCCCUCCCCAACUGUGUUUGGUAGCUUGAAAAGAAUUGCCUUUCUUGAUAAGGAGGACAGAUUUACGGAAAGGAACUAUGAGUAUCUGUACUUCUCUGCUAGAACCUCCAGACAAAAAAUUACAGCUUACAUUUUAUAGGGUUUUUUUAAUUAAAUUUACUGCAUUUAUUUCUGAAUUGUUUUACCCCUUAAAGCUACUCC
rfam:Dipodomys ordii contig_27346, whole genome shotgun sequence.